ACUCAACACGAAUUCUUUAAAAAGGGUGAGUUAAGAGUGUAAAAGCGAGCCGUCUUCGAGCGGAUACUUGACCAUUCUAUUAACCCUAAACUUAUUUUAAGGGGUUU
rfam:Flavobacteriaceae bacterium CG2_30_34_30 cg2_3.0_scaffold_176_c, whole genome shotgun sequence.